UGGUUCACACUUAUUAGACAGUAUCUUUACUCUUCACGUAAGACCAUGAGAAAAAUAACAACCUGUCUUGACAGGUGAGGGACGUGGAGCUCAGAGAAAUUAAUAUCCUGCCUCAGUAAGCCAAUGAGUGAGUGGUAGAUUCGCAUCCAGAUUUGUGAUACUGAGCUUGUGCUCAUAGGGCACCAGGGGAAGAUCUCAGAGGUGAGUGAAAUCAGCUCUUUACUUGGAUUCAACCAACUUACACACUACAUAAGACUGAGGGACCCUUUUUCAAACUGGGUGUUCUUUCCUCCGCAGAGUGUGGUUUGUGAGCCAGUGGAAUUCUCAUCAAGGAGUUUAUUGGCAAUGCAGUCUGGGUCUUCACCUCAGCCAAUCAGUCAGAAUCUGCCUUUCAACAAGCCCCCCAGAUGGUCUGUCCGUACACUACAGGUCGAGAAGUGCUGGUCUACCCUUACUACAUGCCUACUGCAGCAAGUUCAGAAGGAAGAACAGAGUAGCAAGAAAAGUUUGGAAUGCAGUCAGUGCUCAGAAGAGGAAGGCCUGUUGCUGUAGACGUCAUGUGACUGGGGAAUAUGUAGGCAGCAGGUCAUGGGCACAGUGUGGGGUACUGGGUCUCUGACUGGUGAGAAUGGCAUGCUCCACCAUAGCACAGUAAACCUUUUGGUUUAAUCAAACCAUGACGGUUGGUCACUCCAGCUUCUAUAUCUUUCUAAUGGAACAACUGAGACUGAGUUCAAGUUCCAGCAUCACCACCUACCAUGCCCAUUAUCUUACGUGAAUCACUGAAGGUCUCUUUAUCUGCAAAAUGGAGGUAAUACCAACCUCAUAUGGUAGCUGCAGGAUUAAAUGAGAAGCUAUAGACAUUAAGAUUGUCAAGGCAGGGACUGUUUAUAUUCCAUCAUUUUAACCCUGAAUGAGUGCUUGUGAACUAAGAUAUAAUUAUGUAUCUAAGGUGUUGCCAGUGUUUUAAGUAUGUGUUUUUCUCCAACACCUCUCUGUCCAAUUCUACCAAAUCUGUACAGCUCCAGAUAAAUCCUAGUCUCCUCUGUGAAGCCCCUCAACUCACUCCAGCCAGAGUGGUUUCUCUUGCCUUUGAAGAAACUUAGGUCACUUGAAGAAAAUUGUUCAGCAUCAUCAACAUGACGAGUAUGUGUUCUGGAUUUAAUGGAGCAAAUUUUGGCUCCAUUGCUUAACAUUUGGGUGACUUUGGGCAAGUUAACUUAGACUAGUGAGGCUCAAUUGUUUCAUUUGUAAAAGGGGGGUGGUCAUUUUAAUAAUAUCUAUCUCAUAGUCGAGUACAGAUAAGGAAUGAGAUAAUGUUAAAUCUAUGUUUGGCAAAAGCUUAGUGCUUAGAUAUGUUAGGGGAUUUGUUUUGAAAUAUAUUCAAUGCUUACAUUCUUAAAAUUCUAAUUCUUUUAGGGCCUCUAACUUGGAGAAGGAUCCCUUUGCAAUAAUAAUCUCUCAUCUUCUUUAAACAUUUUAUGUGUUUGCCUGUCUCCUUCUCCUAGAAUGGGAUCUGUGAAGUUAAUAAUAAUCCUAAUGUUUUUAGACCACCUCCUCCAAGACCAGCAGUAGUAACAGCAUUUCAAGCAUUUGUUAUUGUCCAGAGCCUGUAGGAAGCAAAUUGCUAUCGGUGGGCAGGCACUUACCAUGGAGCAGGUAUUUUAUUUGACUUACUUCAUGACUUCUCAUAACAUCUCCAUGUGGUGGGAUUAUUAGCCCAUUUUACAGAUGACCUUAGGUGAUAUGGAAACUAAGUACCUUCCUGUUAGCCACAGAGCUAGGACUCCAACUGAAGACUCCUGUCCUUUCUCCAUUGCUUAGGUCCUGGGCUUCCGCCAGGCCAUUUGGUAUAGUUUCUCUGGGACAUGUAAUAUUUGAAAUUCAGUGUAGAUACAAAUCACCUGGAGGUCUUGAUAGACUUCAGACAUGAGUUCUGUAAGUCCAGGGGGAGCCUGGAGGUUCUUCUUUUCUAACAAGUCCCCAGGCAUUGCUGAUGCUGCUGGUCCAGGGACUGCACUUUGUGCAACGAGGCUAACUAGCUGUCCAGUUGGGUGGUUGACAGGUGAAAUGUCUAAGACCUCCAUCUUGUGAAAUUCUUGGGACUGAGGGCGCACAGGAGGAGAGAUUAGCACGGGAGAAUAGUUAGCGGAGCUGAAUAAGGGACCAGUCAUAUUUUGGUAUUAUCCCUAACUGGAGUAGUCAUAACAUGGGACUGCUUUUAUCUAUUUCUCUUAAAUUUUAUGGUAUUGGCUGUUCCCCAAAUUCCCAGGAUGAUCAGAACAACUGAGGCACUUGGAAACCACACAGCAUCCCCAGAACCCCUCCCAGGAGGGGGGAGGUCCAGAAAUUUUUAAUUUUAGCAAGUACUUUAGGUGACCUCUAAUACCAAGGAAGUGCUAUAGAAAUUGCAACGGGCAGACUGUAAACAAGGGGUGCGUAAUCGAGAAAGGCUUGAGUGGGCGGGAGCAGAUGGAGUUUAUCUUUAAAUAAUGAGGGAGUUGGAGGAAUGUUAAGACAGUGUGAAGAGGACUGGGGGAGGGAGGGCAGAGGUGGGCCCUUGAGCAAGGGCAGGAGCAUUGGCUCUGCAUUUCCUCAGAUGUUCAGGUCGAGGCCUACUGGAUUCUGUUUGAAAUGCUGUGUCAACAAGGCCAAGAACUGAGGGAUCAAUAUGCAACUAACUAUAAUGAAAAGAAAUUGAUUACAGUAACGGGCCAGUUGCUCCUCCUUCAUUUACCUUACUUUCAGGAGACCUGAGCCUGCACCUCAGUUUUAAAGUAGGGCCGAUAGACUGACAGUCCAGAGGCCCCCUAGGGCCCUCAGAGAAGUUUGGUUUGGCUUGCAAAAUGUUUUAAAACUCAGGAACUUCACACUAAAAUCCCUACUAUGGCUUCUCUUUAAAAACGGAAAGAUCUGGCAACAUUUCCACACGUUAACAUUUGCCUGAACCACCAUUCCCCAUCACUUGACAUCAGCCUGCUGUACUCAUUUGCAUCGCCUCUCUGAAGUCGGAAUUUGUGUUUCUGCACUGUUAGGAAUGUCUUCAUAGACAAGUCCAGUGGAAGGGGAGGUUGUACCUUCCCUGGGCCCCGUUGAUGGGAUGGGCCGAGGCAGCCAUAAUUUUGGUGAUGUUACCUCACCCUCCAGCCCUUUACUUGUCAGCAUGGCUGACUCCACCAGGGAUGGCAGCCGAUUCAGAGGUGGCCCAUCCUGAAGCAUGCCAGGGACUUCUGGCUUGGCGAGGAAAGUGAGCAAGGGUAAUCACAUUCUUCACUGAGAAUGCUGGAAUUAGAAAACUAAGCAACGGCUGCCAGCUAGUGUAGGAGAAAACUGGAGAGAUUGUGAAAUGCACUUAGCAUCACAGCAAGACAAAGCCCUGUGCAAGCUGAGUUGUGCGGUAGAGAAAACCCACUGAGAGAGGAGAAUGUCUUGUGUACUGAAAGAGGCAGUGAUUAGACACCAGGUGUCCCUGAAAGCUUGAGAACUUCACUUUGUCCCCUGAAUAUCAUCCUCAAUUCUAGUCCUGGUAAGACCUGAUGUGCUGGGUUUCUAAUCCUUGGAUGUCCACAAACUAGGGGACACUUGCCCCAUUUGUCCUAUAACCACCCUUCUUCUUAGGGAAAUAAUACUCUGAAUUUCUUUAAGGGAACUGGCCCACCAUGGGGACGAAGCCCAUUUGAGAAUGAAGCCUAUGAAAGGGAGAGAGAAGACCCCUACCCUAAAUCUUCCAGCCUCCAGCCCCUCCUCUUCCGGACACCCAGGGUCAAAUGGCUGACAGACAGACAGAUGGUUUACUUCCUUAGCAGCACGUGUGCUGGGACACCAGCUCUUUCAUCAGAAGUCGCUGCUGAUCAGCCAUAUGAAGAUCGGGACUCUCAGCCCAUCUAUUUUGAAGCGAAGCACUUGGAAGAAGUCAAGGCUGAGUCUUAGUAAG